GACGAACGCUGGCGGCGUGCUUAACACAUGCAAGUCGAACGGAAAGGCCCUGCUUUUGUGGGGUGCUCGAGUGGCGAACGGGUGAGUAACACGUGAGUAACCUGCCCUUGACUUUGGGAUAACUUCAGGAAACUGGGGCUAAUACCGGAUAGGAGCUCCUGCUGCAUGGUGGGGGUUGGAAAGUUUCGGCGGUUGGGGAUGGACUCGCGGCUUAUCAGCUUGUUGGUGGGGUAGUGGCUUACCAAGGCUUUGACGGGUAGCCGGCCUGAGAGGGUGACCGGCCACAUUGGGACUGGGAUACGGCCCAGACUCCUACGGGAGGCAGAAGGGGGGAAUAUUGCACAAUGGGCGGAAGCCUGAUGCAGCAACGCCGCGUGCGGGAUGACGGCCUUCGGGUUGUAAACCGCUUUCGCCUGUGACGAAGCGUGAGUGACGGUAAUGGGUAAAGAAGCACCGGCUAACUACGUG
rnacentral:rRNA from 1 species